rnacentral:rRNA from 1 species
GUUCCCAUCCCGAACACGGUAGUUAAGCUCCUCAGGGCCGAUGGUACUACGUGGGCAACUGCGUGGGAGAGUAGGACGUCGCGGGAU